ACAACUUUAGCUUUCUAACAAGUACAUGGACGGUCAUCCGCUUGAAAAACGAAAAUUUGGAUAGAAGAUAUGGUGUAGAGAUAUAAUUAAAUUUACGAAUAAAUAAUAUGUAAAGGUCAUGCAUUUAUAACUUCAUUAGAUAGAUGGAAUCAUACAAUAGAGCUCCUCCCGAGAGAAGAAUAUCUUCGAUACCUCAAAAGUCACCAAUAUAAUAUGACAAGUUUACCUUUUUCUGCCAUACACCAAAAUACGUUUAUAUCUGAACCUGAAGAUGAUAAUGAUGAUGCAAUUAGACUUUGGCACCCAAAACUUCGUAAUUACCAGAAUCUUAUUUAUCGAGGUAGUGCGCAGGCGUUGUUCAAUCCCCUGAGGAGUACGCUCGCCGCUGUAAUUGGCAAUAAGUUUCUAUGUUGACAGAGGGCCAUUUUUAAGUUAAAACUUGGAAAAACUUAAACUUUCGGCCUUCUAUCUAUUUCGGCAUCAUGCAUAGAGAGAGUUCCUCGUUGUUUUCGAUAUUUUUCUUGUGUCUGCUUGAUAGAUGAAUUUACUGAAUUAGUGCCAAUAAAAGACCAAAUUCAAAUAACUUAAAUUUGCAGGCCGCAUUUGUCAGAACAGAUUCGAAUUGUGUCAUCACCAGAUGCAGAGGUAACCUCUUCAUAAGUUGGUCGUAACUACAUGUAAAAAUUUUGUCACUUAGAAAAAUAAACUCAAGAAGCCAACUUAUCCUGUAGCCUGGGAUCCAGAAACAUAUCUCGGCAACAAGUCCUUCUUGUCUUGAUCCAUCGUCUCCAAGUCGACAAGAAGCAGUCUUCAAAAGCAAAAUUUGAGAUCUUUGCCCUUUCUUCAACAGAGCGCAUGAACAGUCUUAGAUAAGUAAGUUUUUUUUGCCGUUAUUGGCGUCUCAGUGUGACAGAAAACGUAUUUAGCGAUCUUACAAUACUGGUGACAUUACAUAAUUUGAGCAAAUUCACGUGGGCUACAGGCAUACAAAGCAUAAUAUAUACGGGAUUUUAUAUUUAAGGAAUACAAAUAAUGAGGUGUUUUAUACAAGGCAACUUAUGCACUUUCAAGAGUUGCAGACACAAAGAAUGUCAAGUGUUUAAUUCGUGAAUUGACAAAUACAAGAUGCUGAUGAUUCAAAAGAAUAUUACUAUAAAUCGUAGUGAUUUAGGCAGUAAAUAGCUCUAAUUUGUUUUUUUAUUGUCAUCUAUUAUUCAAUCAAGAGGAGUAUUUACCUGAAGCGAUACCAAAAACAACAUACCAUUUGUCAGUUCAAAGACCUGCUGCAGUCCUGUUAUUUUGUGUCAAUUUAGGAGUUUAAGAUACCGUUCACUCCGCCUCUUAAUUCUUUGGGCAAUUUCUGUCUUUAAAAUCGCCCCUAUACUGACUGUUUCAUGGCAUCUGAUCCUACUGCCAAUCAGAACAUGUUGGAAUUUCAAACAGCUAAAAAUGACCAGAAAAACGAAUGUAGGGACGAAGGCAACUCAUCUUGCGCCUUCAAAAGAAUAAAUACAACUCCAGAUUACUCUAAUCCGAAAAUCGCAGCCCUGAGAGACCUGUUAGAUAAGACCAUAAAAGUGAUAUUAAAAGAUGGUCGUAUAGUGCUGGGAAAGCUCUAUUGUGUGGACUGGAAACGAAAUAUUAUACUACGAGACGCCUAUCAAGCAUUUACAAAUUUUUAUAAACUCGAAAUAAACUUGAAUAAAAAAAAACCCGAGCCCGGACUAUCUUCGACACGCAAUUUGGGCUCAAUUUUGAUCUCUUACGAUUCAAUAGUUGACAUCUAUUUGGCACGCUAUCCUAAAGACAUUGAAUCAGCUCAGAUCUAAUAUUGUAACAGAUAUAUACAAAAAUCUGGCUGCAGCUCGAAAUUAAAAUGUAUUAUAAAAAUCUGAAGCUUGAAUGAAU